CCUACGGGAGGCAGCAGUGAGGAAUAUUGGUCAAUGGACGAGAGUCUGAACCAGCCAAGUAGCGUGAAGGAUGACUGCCCUAUGGGUUGUAAACUUCUUUUAUAUGGGAAUAAAAUGUUCCACGUGUGGGAUUUUGUAUGUACCAUAUGAAUAAGGAUCGGCUAACUCCGUGCCAGCCGCCGCGGUAAUACGGAGGUUCCGAGCGUUAUCCGGAUUUAUUGGGUUUAAAGGGAGCGUAGGUGGAUUGUUAAGUCAGUUGUGAAAGUUUGCGGCUCAACCGUAAAAUUGCAGUUGAAACUGGCAGUCUUGAGUACAGUAGAGGUGGGCGGAAUUCGUGGUGUAGCGGUGAAAUGCUUAGAUAUCACGAAGAACUCCGAUUGCGAAGGCAGCUCACUGGACUGCAACUGACACUGAGGCUCGAAAGUGUGGGUAUCAAACAGGAUUAGAUACCCCAGUAGUC
rnacentral:rRNA from 1 species